UGCUAGGAGGGUUGCACAACUGCAGCUUGAGUGCAAGGUUCAAAUUGAUGUGGAGGGUUUCGUGAGUUCAUUGAGGCUUGACAUUAUGGAGGCUGUUAAUGCAUGGGCAAAAGGAUCGAAAUUCUAUGAUAUCAUGGAAAUUACUCAGGUUUUUGAGGGUAGCUUGAUUAGGGCAAGUAGAAGACUUGAGGAACUUUUUCAGCAGCUAAUACGAGCAGCCAAAUCCAUUGGAGAAACGCAGCUUGAGGCUAAGCUUGAAAAAGCUGUUUCAAAAAUCAAGAGGGACAUUGUAUUUGCCGCAUCCCUCUAUUUAUAGGACAGUUUCUAGCAAAAGAGAGGCAAAUGAGGAAUUACCCUUGCGUCUCAGCGUGGAAUUACCUACCAUCAAUUUUGUAGUAUUUGACUGCCAAAUCAUUUUAAAUUAUUCGUAGCAUUCUGUU